AGGCAUGUACCACCAACACCCGGCA
rnacentral:piRNA from 1 species